ACUCAAAUGAAUUGACGGGGGCCCGCACAAGCGGUGGAGCAUGUGGUUUAAUUCGACGCAACGCGAAGAACCUUACCUACCCUUGACAUCCUCGGAAGCUUGCAGAGAUGUGAGUGUGCCUUCGGGAACCGAGAGACAGGUGCUGCAUGGCUGUCGUCAGCUCGUGUCGUGAGAUGUUGGGUUAAGUCCCGUAACGAGCGCAACCCUUAUGCUUAGUUGCCAGCGGGUAAAGCCGGGAACUUUAAGGAGACUGCCGGUGAUAAGCCGGAGGAAGGUGGGGACGACGUCAAGUCAUCAUGGCCCUUACGGGUAGGGCUACACACGUGCUACAAUGGGCGGUACAGAGGGAAGCGAAGCCGCGAGGUGAAGCGAAUCUCAGAAAGCCGCUCGUAGUCCGGAUUGGAGUCUGCAACUCGACUCCAUGAAGUUGGAAUCGCUAGUAAUCGCGGAUCAGAACGCCGCGGUGAAUACGUUCUCGGGCCUUGUACACACCGCCCGU
rnacentral:rRNA from 1 species